AUUGAACGCUGGCGGCAUGCCUUACGCAUGCAAGUCGAACGGUAACAGGUCUUCGGAUGCUGACGAGUGGCGAACGGGUGAGUAAUACAUCGGAACGUGCCUAGUAGUGGGGGAUAACUACUCGAAAGAGUGGCUAAUACCGCAUGAGAUCUACGGAUGAAAGCAGGGGAUCGCAAGACCUUGUGCUACUAGAGCGGCCGAUGGCAGAUGAGGUAGUUGGUGGGAUAAAAGCUUACCAAGCCGACGAUCUGUAGCUGGUCUGAGAGGACGAUCAGCCGCACUGGGGCUGGGACACGGCCCAGACUCCUACGGGAGGCAGCAGUGGGGAAUUUUGGACAAUGGGCGAAAGCCUGAUCCAGCAAUGCCGCGUGCAGGAUGAAGGCCUUCGGGUUGUAAACUGCUUUUGUACGGAACGAAAAGCUCUGGGUUAAUACCCUGGGGUCAUGACGGUACCGUAAGAAUAAGCACCGGCUAACUACGUGCCAGCCGCCGCCGUAAGAC
rnacentral:rRNA from 1 species